UGUACAGGCGAUGAAGGACGUGGCACGCUGCGAUAAGCGUCGGUGAGUUGUGAGCAAACUUUGACCCGACGAUUUCCGAAUGGGGAAACCCACCUAUCCCGAUUAUUCUUAAUGUGGUUCGCCACAGUGAGAAUAAUCGAGAAACAGGUAUCACUUAGCUGAAUAAAAUAGGCUUCGUGAAGCGAACCCGGGGAACUGAAACAUCUCAGUACCUGGAGGAAAAGACAUCAACCGAGAUUCCGUUAGUAGUGGCGAGCGAACGCGGACCAGGCCAGUGCCUUCUUUUCAACUAGCAGAACAGUCUGGAAAGGCUGACCAUAGCGGGUGACAGUCCCGUAUGCGAAAGUGAUGAAGAAGGACUCGAGUAGGGCGGGGCACGUGAAACCCUGUCUGAACAUGGGGGGACCACCCUCCAAGCCUAAAUACUCGUACAUGACCGAUAGUGAACUAGUACCGUGAGGGAAAGGUGAAAAGCACCCCGAUGAGGGGAGUGAAACAGUACCUGAAACCGAACGCCUACAAGCAGUUGGAGCCUCUUUAUGGGGUGACAGCGUACCUCUUGCAUAAUGGGUCUGUGACUUAGUGUAUCAAGCAAGCUUAAGCCGUUAGGUGUAGGCGCAGCGAAAGCGAGUCUGAAUAGGGCGACUGAGUUUGAUGCAUUAGACCCGAAACCCGGCGAUCUAGGCAUGACCAGGUUGAAGGUGGGGUAACACUCACUGGAGGACCGAACCGUUUAAUGUUGAAAAAUUAUCGGAUGAGUUGUGUUUAGGGGUGAAAGGCCAAUCAAGCCGGGAAAUAGCUGGUUCUCCGCGAAAUCUAUUGAGGUAGAGCCUUGGACGAAUACCCUAGGGGGUAGAGCACUGGAUGGUUGCGGGCGGCGCGAGCUGUACCAAUACUAACCAAACUCCGAAUACCUAGGAGUACUAUCCAGGAGACAGACGGCGGGUGCUAAGGUCCGUCGUCAAAAGGGAAACAGCCCUGACCUACAGCUAAGGUCCCCAAGUCAUCACUAAGUGGGAAAGCAUGUGGGAAUCCCAAAACAGCCAGGAGGUUGGCUUAGAAGCAGCCAUCCUUUAAAGAAAGCGUAACAGCUCACUGGUCUAAACAAGGGUUCCUGCGGCGAAAAUGUAACGGGGCUAAAGUGAUGCACCGAAGCUUAGGGUGUGUAGUUUACUACACGCGGUAGCGGAGCGUUCCGUAAGCCUGUGAAGCGAUCUGGUAAUGGGUCGUGGAGGUAUCGGAAGUGCGAAUGCAGACAUGAGUAGCGAUAAAGAGGGUGAGAUGCCCUCUCGCCG
rnacentral:rRNA from 1 species